rnacentral:misc_RNA from 1 species
GAAGGGCCUCUGAGUUGUACAAUGAAUGUGGGAGGCCCCAACCUGCGUCUGACGCACUUGGAAAAGGCGCGCGUGCUUUAGAAGAUGGAGCACCUGAUGUAGCUGUUCAGUUGUAUACUGAAGCCUGUGCCAUUCUUGAAGAGGACGGGAAGGAACAAAUGGCCUUUGAUCUAUAUCGUGAUGCUGCAAGGGUUUAUCUGAAGCUUGAAAAGUAUGAAGAUGCUGCAACUAUCCUAAUAAGUUUGGCAUUAGCUGCUGACAAGUGCAGCGCAACACAUAGCCAGUGCAAGGCUUAUCUUAGUGCAAUCAUUGUUUACCUAUAUGCCCACGACUUUAAGCAAGCGGAGAAGUGCUACAAUGAUUGUUGUCAGGUUGAAGUUUUCCUGAAUAGCGAUCAAGGUCGCUGUGCUGGUAAACUUCUUUCUGCAUAUGCUGACGGCGAUGUUGAGGAUAUUAAACGGGUGUCACAAUCAAGCACUGUUUCAAAUCUUGAUCACACGAUCGUCAAGAUUGCAAGGAAAUUGCCUACAGGGGAUGUUAGCGCACUCAAGAAUGAAGCCAUGAAAGACAAUGAAGAUCCUUUGGAUGAGGAUGAUCUGACCUAAACUUUCACUAGUUGAUGGAAUGAGUCGAAGCUUUAUGUGUGCUGAGUUUGUGUCUGGAACAUCGAGUCUUGCUUUUACAAUCUAUCUUGCUAGAUUUAUCAGCUAUAUCAUGACAAAUUGUCUGAGGAAAACCCUGUACAGAAGAAUCUCACAAACCCUCCCUCCGUUGAUUGCUUUGCAGAUUGGAAGCUUUUGUUCAUGAAUAUAAUUGAUUAUUGGGUAAUCUUAGCAGUGUGGUUCUGUACUGUGUUUAUCUGCUCCUAUUG